UUGUCCUCGCGUGUCAGGAGA
rnacentral:siRNA from 1 species